ACUUUCAUUAGUUUCUAAUAUUACAAAAUUCUUUAUGCUCUUCUAACUGGGAAUGGGCAAAUAUCUACCUACUGAUUCAUUCCUUUGUUAAAUAUGAGGGCCUGCUCUGCUAUCCUGCAACAAUCUGGUACUUCUUAGAGUAGCAAGGACAGCACUGGUUCAGUUAUUCCAAAUAAUACCACAGAGCCUACUAUGUGCAGGUUACCAUCUGUUAGUCUUAGGGUUCCAAAGAUAACCGCAGUGUCUGUCCUCAAGUUGCAUAUAGUCUACCACAGGAAGAAUUAGACUCUAUUUACUGAGAAAAAAUGCAGACUUGAGUUAUAGCACAUACCUUAUAGAACACAUUGGGUGCUUACGCUGCUAUCUGUUAAGCAAAUGAGUGGUGGGUAGGGUGGCGCUCAAGACAGGGUGCUGAGCAAGAGAAGAACAAAUGGAAUUCUAAUGACAGGACUGGGAAUGACAGUGAAGCAUAAUAGAAGUAGGAAGGGCUUGGAAGAGGUUGUGAGUGUGUUGUACAUUCACUGUAGGAGUAAAAACUAUGAAACUUGUGACUCUUUAUUGUGCCUUGAUCCAAAUAAAAGAAUCAAUAGGAGCAGGUUUAUAAUAUCAAGUAUUUCAGAUAUUGAGGAAUAGUGAACUUUGACUAUAUAAUGCUUUGAAUUAGCCUGUCUUACUAAGAUAAGGGCAAAAGCUAAAAAAAAUAAUAAUAAUAACAUUGGAGGAAAUAAUAAUUUGAGCAUUAGGCAUUUGGGGGAAUACCAAGAUAUUCUUGUAGGAUAUAUAUUUAGAAUCUGUUGCAUAAAAUCUAACAAUUUUCUUUUAAUUUUUUAUUGUGGGUUGUUCAA
rnacentral:lncRNA from 1 species